GAUGAACGCUGGCGGCGUGCCUAAUACAUGCAAGUAGAACGCUGAGGACUGGUGCUUGCACCGGUCCAAGGAGUUGCGAACGGGUGAGUAACGCGUAGGUAACCUACCUCAUAUCGGGGGAUAACUAUUGGAAACGAUAGCUAAUACCGCAUAAAAGUGUUUAACCCAUGUUAAACAUUUAAAAGGUGCAACUGCAUCACUAUGAGAUGGACCUGCGUUGUAUUAGCUAGUUGGUGAGGUAACGGCUCACCAAGGCGACGAUACAUAGCCGACCUGAGAGGGUGAUCGGCCACACUGGGACUGAGACACGGCCCAAACUCCUACGGGAGGCAGCAGUGGGGAAUCUUGCACAAUGGGGGCAACCCUGAUGCAGCGACGCCGCGUGAGCGAUGAAGGUUUUCGAAUCGUAAAGCUCUGUCCUAUGGGAAGAUAAUGACGGUACCAUGGGAGGAAGCCCCGGCUAACUACGUGCCAGCAGCCGCGGUAAUACGUAGGGGGCGAGCGUUGUCCGGAAUUACUGGGCGUAAAGGGUUCGCAGGCGGCAUGGCAAGUCCGAUGUAAAAGGCGAAGGCUCAACCUUCGUAAGCAUCGGAAACUGUCAAGCUUGAGUGAAGGAGAGGCAAGUGGAAUUCCUAGUGUAGCGGUGGAAUGCGUAGAUAUUAGGAGGAAUACCGGUGGCGAAGGCGACUUGCUGGACUUCAACUGACGCUGAGGAACGAAAGCGUGGGUAGCAAACAGGAUUAGAUACCCUGGUAGUCCACGCCGUAAACGAUGAGUGCUAGGUGUCGGGGGUCAUACCUCGGUGCCGCCGUUAACACAAUAAGCACUCCGCCUGGGGAGUACGUGCGCAAGCAUGAAACUCAAAGGAAUUGACGGGGACCCGCACAAGCAGCGGAGCAUGUGGUUUAAUUCGAAGCAACGCGAAGAACCUUACCAGGACUUGAAAUACUAGCGCCCGCUUUAGAGAUAAAGUUUUUUCUUCGGAAACGCUAAUACAGGUGGUGCAUGGUUGUCGUCAGCUCGUGUCGUGAGAUGUUGGGUUAAGUCCCGCAACGAGCGCAACCCUUACUUUUAGUUGCCAGCACGUAAUGGUGGGAACUCUAAAGGGACUGCCGAUGAUAAAUCGGAGGAAGGUGGGGAUGACGUCAAAUCAUCAUGCCCUUUAUGUCCUGGGCUACACACGUGCUACAAUGGUCGGUACAGAGGGCAGCGAACGAGCGAUCGCAAGCGAAUCUCAAAAAGCCGAUCCCAGUUCGGAUUGCAGGCUGCAACUCGCCUGCAUGAAGUCGGGGUUGCUAGUAAUCGCGAAUCAGAAUGUCGCGGUGAAUGCGUUCCCGGGUCU
rnacentral:rRNA from 1 species